rnacentral:rRNA from 1 species
AUGGCUCGUGGCGAUCAUCAAAUUGAUGAUGAUGAUUUCAUGGAUCCACCACAGCGUAAUCGGGCAACUGGACGGAGAAAAGAGGGUGAUGAGAAGAAACGUAUUCGCAACAGAGCCUCCCAAGAACGACUGACUGCGUUGACUGACAAAUUCACCGACAAUCAGAAGGGAACUGCUGCUGAGAUGGGUAUGCAGGCUCUGAUGGAUGUCCGGUGCACGAACCUUGUCAACCCUGUAUGCGAUUGGCUUGGUGAGAUCUACCACCCCGCCUCCAGGGAAUUCAUGAUUCCGGGACGUGGAAGACUACCGUUGAACGAGGAAUCCGUGUUCUGUACUUUGGGUGUGCCUCGUGGACAUAUCAAAGUCCUGUACGAGGUCAAUAAUGAGAUAGAGGAAGCGAUGUUCCCCCAUUUGUUUCCUGGAUUGGAAUCCAUGCCGAACACGUCUGCACUGGCAGAUUCGCUGCAGACCAUGACGACGCAUGGAGAUGUUUUCAAGAUGAAGCUACUCAUGUACCUCAUCUCAGCUGUUUUCGCGCCGACCACUUCUCUUCGCCCAAGCAACAAAUGCUUCCCCAUCCUGGCGGAUCUGAAAAAUGUGAAGAACAUGAAUUGGUGUAAGUUUAUUUCUGACUUCCUGCACGAUGCAUUCUCAAGCAAGAUGUACCAAAAGGGUUGUCGACUGCAUUUAUUGCUCAUGUAUGUCGACUGUCUUGAUCUGUCCACCGUGGAUUUCACUGGGAUAGGAGGCCCGCCGCCUACGCACAAGUUUGCUGUUUCUGCAUGGACUAUCAAUGUUGUCAAGGCUGUACUUGCCGCGGACAGGGUAACUGAUAUCAAAUAUGGAAAACUGCAGCUGAUGGCCAAGCAUGCUAUAGACUAUAGCGUGUUUGGGGGGCCUCAAAACUUUGAAAAGUGGAUGGACGUGCACUCAGCUUCGUCUUGCCCUACUGAGACGAGGGCACCUGUUGAGCAUCUAAUUGGGCAGUUUGCAUCCGGAAUGACCGGCUUGCUCGGGAAGUUGGUCGAGGGUUCCCAAGAGCCAGGUGACACACAAGAUGAUCUAGAUGGAGACGCUGGCCUCAGCAAGGAUGACGACGAUGACAUGGAGAAUGUGCAACAGGACACCGAUGACGAUGAACAUGCUGAAGUUCGCGUAGGUGGUAACAAGGGCAAGGAUGCAACAGAUGUCCCCCCACCAGAGAAAGUCAAAGAACAUACGGCUGCAAGAGGCGAGGGGGUGUUGCCAUCAAGGAGGGGGAGGGCUCCAGAGGAUGUUGGGCAGGGUUCUCCUGGCAAGAGGUCUAGGACCGAUCCCGUAGCUGUCAGGAGGAGCGAGCCGACCGCUGGUGAACGAGCAGUUACGAAGAAACAGGCGCCAACGCCAACCCAUGUUUCUGCUCGGUUGAACAAAGGUGCCCCCAUUGCCAGUGACACCCCUUCCACCAGGUCUUCUCCUCGUACGACGACGACCAACACCGGGGAUCCUGUCGUGUUGCCAGACCUGAGGAAGUCAGUCAAGAAGGUGAAGAAGACUACUAUGCGCGGGUCCAAGCAUAUCAUUAAGGACCCACUCGAACGCCUGCAUUCAAAGUUGUCAACAGGGGCAACUCAGAUGUUCACGAGGCGCCAGGCUACAAUACUGCUGUUGCACCAUCAACUGUUCCCACUAACUCUAAUAGGCAUCCGUACAUCGGGGAGUGACGAGUCGGUAUCUGCCAGGACAGCUGAAAUAUUGCCAACUCUUCUCGCAAUGAAGGAUGCUGCUGUGAGCCAUGCCACCCCAUCAGCAAGCGUUGAAGUGGACGCUCCCGAGACCAACCUAAGCAAGGAAGAUUCUCGCUCAUCUGACACUGAUUCCAAGCGUGUGUGUGGUGACACUCCUGUGUCCACGACAGAAGCGGCUGAGGCGGCAGUUCACAAUGAUAUGCCAUCUAUAGGUGAGAGUCUUGGCACAACAGCUCCAGCUCCUGUCGGUGCAGAUACUGCUAAGGCGACCGUUUCGCGUGCUGGUCUUCCACCUAGGCGUCGUAGCCCCCGCAAGCAAUCAACAGCCAUACCCAACACACCGGCUGUAGCUAGGAGCAGCAGAGACGAGUCUGGUUAUGUCCUUGCGUCCACACUGUUCCCCCCACCUGCCACAAGCAAUGCGACGGAGAAACCGGAAGACCGGAGCACAACUGAUGCAGGUGUCAAGCCGGGCAUGAGUGACGCAGGUGAACGUCUGGAGCAGAGUGCGCCUUUACCUGCAGUGGAAAUCCCCAGUUUAAAUCUGCGCACUUCCAAGCUCCCAGUCAAUGUGGGUGUCCCAUACAGCCCAAACAAGAAGAUUGUCAAGAAAGCUGCGGCUGAUACCGCUGACAAGACGCCCCGCCCUACAAAUAAGCCCGAUCAUUCUGUAGCGGCCGAUUCAGAUAUGUUUGUUGAUCUUUCACCUUUGGAUUCUGCCGCGCAAGUUGUUCGUGGUCCGGCAAGUAGGCAUGAGAUGCACCCAAUGGCCUUCACCCCACCGAGCUUCAGUCUUGACAUCAGUCAAGAUGAACCAGUGGUGCCAGAUCCUAUGCCAGUUGCAUUUGCUUUCCCGGGAGGCAUGCCCGCAAUGAUGGCGCAGCCAAUGGUCGAGGGCAGGAAGGCUGUCAAGUUUGCAGAGCCGAUAGUUCAAGUGUAG